GAGGAGGUGAAUACUUAUCUAGUGAGUUUGUGACAUAUCUAGGAGAGAAUUAGAUUCUCUCUCAAUGGAUUCUUUUUCGGAACAAAGUGUAUCUGAAAGGAGAAAUUGAACUUUGUUAGACAUGGUUCAAUCCACAAUAGGGUUCACUUCUCUGCCUGUUUCAGGAUUGUGCUCUUGUGUGAUUACCUGUUUUACUCUGAAAAUAUACUGAGUAAGUCUGUUGUGCAGAUUCCAUAUGAGAUAUGAAAUGGGCAUAGAUCUAGACUCUCACCUUUGGGUUUGGAGUUGAUCGGCCUAUAUUAAAGGUUUGCAUAUAGAUAAACGUGAUUCUUGAUCUAAUAGGUGUUUAAGAGUUACUAAUUCUAUCAUGCUG
rnacentral:lncRNA from 1 species